GAUGAACGCUGGCGGCGUGCCUAAUACAUGCAAGUCGAGCGAACGGACGAGAAGCUUGCUUCUCUGAUGUUAGCGGCGGACGGGUGAGUAACACGUGGAUAACCUACCUAUAAGACUGGGAUAACUACGGGAAACCGGAGCUAAUACCGGAUAAUAUUUUGAACCGCAUGGUUCAAAAGUGAAAGACGGUCUUGCUGUCACUUAUCGAUGGAUCCGCGCUGCAUUAGCUAGUUGGUAAGGUAACGGCUUACCAAGGCAACGAUGCAUAGCCGACCUGAGAGGGUGAUCGGCCACACGGGAACUGAGACACGGUCCAGACUACUACGGGAGGCAGCAGUAGGGAAUCGUCCGCAAUGGGCGGAAGCCUGACGGAGCAACGCCGCGUGAGUGAUGAAGGUCUUCGGAUCGGAAAACUCUGUUAUUAGGGAAGAACAUAUGUGUAAGUAACUGUGCACAUCUUGACGGUACCUAAUCAGAAAGCCACGGCUAACUACGUG
rnacentral:rRNA from 1 species